rnacentral:rRNA from 1 species
AACGAACGCUGGCGGCAGGCCCAACACAUGCAAGUCGAGCGAAGCCUUCGGGCUUAGCGGCGGACGGGUGAGUAACGCGUGGGAACGUGCCCUUUGGUACGGAAUAGCCCCGGGAAACUGGGAGUAAUACCGUAUGUGGUCGAGAGACGAAAGAUUUAUCGCCAAAGGAUCGGCCCGCGUUGGAUUAGGUAGUUGGUGGGGUAAUGGCCUACCAAGCCGACGAUCCAUAGCUGGUUUGAGAGGACGAUCAGCCACACUGGGACUGAGACACGGCCCAGACUCCUACGGGAGGCAGCAGUGGGGAAUCUUAGACAAUGGGGGAAACCCUGAUCUAGCCAUGCCGCGUGAUCGAUGAAGGCCUUAGGGUUGUAAAGAUCUUUCAGUGGGGAAGAUAAUGACUGUACCCACAGAAGAAGCCCCGGCUAACUCCGUGCCAGCAGCCGCAGUAAGAC